GGAUGUGUUUGACUUCUUCCGGAG
rnacentral:tRNA from 1 species